UAUUGUGGAUAUUAGUGAUAAAACAGCUUUGUGGUUUCGAAGUGGAUAAUAGUUCGUAAUUUUUUUCUGGAUUUACACCUGAAAGUCGACAAGCGUGGAGUUGCCAUACUGACAUCGUAGUAUCCUGGAGACGAGACUGGCUGACGGAAGCGGGUUUGCGGAAACACUGACGAGGUCAUGCGUCGGAUAAUGUGACGUCAGGGACAUGUCCGCCAAGGACGACGACAACAGCGCCAGUGGUGAGUACUAACCACACUACCUUGCCGUAAUUAAUAACGAC